rnacentral:rRNA from 1 species
CAGCAGCCGCGGGAAAACGUAGGUGGCAAGCGUUGCCCGGAAUUAUUGGGCGUAAAGGGCUCGCAGGCAGUUUCUUAAGUCUGAUGUGAAAGCCCCCGGCUCAACCGGGGAGGGUCAUUGGAAACUGGGAAACUUGAGUGCAGAAGAGGAGAGUGGAAUUCCACGUGUAGCGGUGAAAUGCGUAGAGAUGUGGAGGAACGCCAGUGGCGAAGGUGACUCUCUGGUCUGUAACUGACGCUGAGGAGCGAAAGCGUGGGGAGCGAACAGGAUUAGAUACCCGCGUAGUCCCUGUCUCUUAUAC